rnacentral:rRNA from 1 species
AAAUUGAAGAGUUUGAUCAUGGCUCAGAUUGAACGCUGGCGGCAGGCCUAACACAUGCAAGUCGAACGGUAACAGGAAGCAGCUUGCUUCUUUGCUGACGAGUGGCGGACGGGUGAGUAAUGUCUGGGAAACUGCCUGAUGGAGGGGGAUAACUACUGGAAACGGUAGCUAAUACCGCAUAACGUCGCAAGACCAAAGAGGGGGACCUUCGGGCCUCUUGCCAUCGGAUGUGCCCAGAUGGGAUUAGCUUGUUGGUGGGGUAACGGCUCACCAAGGCGACGAUCCCUAGCUGGUCUGAGAGGAUGACCAGCCACACUGGAACUGAGACACGGUCCAGACUCCUACGGGAGGCAGCAGUGGGGAAUAUUGCACAAUGGGCGCAAGCCUGAUGCAGCCAUGCCGCGUGUAUGAAGAAGGCCUUCGGGUUGUAAAGUACUUUCAGCGGGGAGGAAGGGAGUAAAGUUAAUACCUUUGCUCAUUGACGUUACCCGCAGAAGAAGCACCGGCUAACUCCGUGCCAGCAGCCGCGGUAAUACGGAGGGUGCAAGCGUUAAUCGGAAUUACUGGGCGUAAAGCGCACGCAGGCGGUUUGUUAAGUCAGAUGUGAAAUCCCCGGGCUCAACCUGGGAACUGCAUCUGAUACUGGCAAGCUUGAGUCUCGUAGAGGGGGGUAGAAUUCCAGGUGUAGCGGUGAAAUGCGUAGAGAUCUGGAGGAAUACCGGUGGCGAAGGCGGCCCCCUGGACGAAGACUGACGCUCAGGUGCGAAAGCGUGGGGAGCAAACAGGAUUAGAUACCCUGGUAGUCCACGCCGUAAACGAUGUCGACUUGGAGGUUGUGCCCUUGAGGCGUGGCUUCCGGAGCUAACGCGUUAAGUCGACCGCCUGGGGAGUACGGCCGCAAGGUUAAAACUCAAAUGAAUUGACGGGGGCCCGCACAAGCGGUGGAGCAUGUGGUUUAAUUCGAUGCAACGCGAAGAACCUUACCUGGUCUUGACAUCCACAGAACUUUCCAGAGAUGGAUUGGUGCCUUCGGGAACUGUGAGACAGGUGCUGCAUGGCUGUCGUCAGCUCGUGUUGUGAAAUGUUGGGUUAAGUCCCGCAACGAGCGCAACCCUUAUCCUUUGUUGCCAGCGGUCCGGCCGGGAACUCAAAGGAGACUGCCAGUGAUAAACUGGAGGAAGGUGGGGAUGACGUCAAGUCAUCAUGGCCCUUACGACCAGGGCUACACACGUGCUACAAUGGCGCAUACAAAGAGAAGCGACCUCGCGAGAGCAAGCGGACCUCAUAAAGUGCGUCGUAGUCCGGAUUGGAGUCUGCAACUCGACUCCAUGAAGUCGGAAUCGCUAGUAAUCGUGGAUCAGAAUGCCACGGUGAAUACGUUCCCGGGCCUUGUACACACCGCCCGUCACACCAUGGGAGUGGGUUGCAAAAGAAGUAGGUAGCUUAACCUUCGGGAGGGCGCUUACCACUUUGUGAUUCAUGACUGGGGUGAAGUCGUAACAAGGUAACCGUAGGGGAACCUGCGGUUGGAUCACCUCCUUA